rnacentral:lncRNA from 1 species
GGACAAUCAAGUAAAAUAACACUCACUUUCUCCUGAAACGACAAACUCCUUUCAGUCUACUGGGGCUGCAGCAGAUGACAGCCACGCUGCAAUGGUGAGCGAGGGCAGAGCAGAAGACAUCUGGAGAGUGUGGAUUUUUGCAGAUGUGCAGAAUACAAGAGUGAUGAAGCAUUGCACUGAGGUCUUAGAGUAAAGCUGAGAAGAUUGGACAAAAGCUAGCAGAGUAAGAUUCCUCAUGUGGAGAUACUAAGAGAACUGUGCACAGAGUUGUGAAGGCU